rnacentral:lncRNA from 1 species
GCGUAGAUCUAUACUCUGAACUUAAUACAUUGCCUGAGCUUGUACUAUGUGAUAACAGAAUGUCUGCAACACUCGGAACCCUGGAGGAAAGUAUAAAAUAUUAAUUCUCCAAUAUUUUAAGUGGCUUCAAGUGUUUUGGGCAGGAUUGAUCUCACACUUGUGAGAUUUAUACUUUGAAUGACAGAUGGAAAUCAGAACGCACACACUGAUGCUCUCACUGGUGUUGAAAACUUCUGACUCCUGUAUAGAAUCAGUGAAAUAGAGCUGCAACACUUUCCUCCUCCAGGGGCUAACCUGCUUUUUCCUGAAACAUGCAGCUUCACAGGUCAUGGCCCAGAAAACAGGAGUUUCCUCAGCAAUUCCUGCCUACGUGAACCAGGACGACGAGACUGGUUGUGUAACUCCACCCUUGAGAAGAACUGCCAGGAUCGUUGUUUAUGAGCGUGACCCAAAGGCUGGAACAGCUUCCUUACCUACAGAGUGUUGUAAUCCCGGAAAUACCGUGGGAUGUCUUCACCAACAUCUCCUUCCCAUCAACACCGCGUUCACUGCGAAGAGCAUCCCGGGAGAUACAGGACUGAGAAAUUAGGAUGGCAGAUAAUGAUCCCAUGGGCUUCAAGCAUUUCCCUCAAUAAAGUCAUGGCCACCAAGGGUCAGCCAGGAAGAUGGAUGUACCU